UUCCAUAUAAGACAGACUGGCGUGAUGGACCCUUUGGGCUGUGCAGUGUGCACAGGUUCUUCCUUCUUUGAGUUGAAGGGGCCAUGAGUUGGGGUUAGAGCACGCAGCAUGGGGGCUCUACUAGGAAGAAUCCUCAUCCCAGACUAGUUUAUUAUUAGGGUCAAACCUUCUCCAGGGGAUCAGAAAUAGUCAAAGGGGGGGUUCUCUGAGAAAGUUGUGGCCUACUAUGAGUGCACUUUAAUUUGUAUGGGUUCCCUCUCUCUUUUCGCCAUUAGCUUUUGCUUUUGCCAUAAUCACACUUGUCUUCCACCACCAGCAUGGGUCUGACCAACCCCAUAUAACAAACUUCUCAGAAACCUUCUUCCCCACAACACAGUCCCCAGAUAAAAUUCUGGGUGAUGCAGAGAUUGAGACAGAGAGGGGUAAACAAGUGCCCCAUGCAACAUCCACCACGAGUGCAUGAAAGUUUUUCAUCCUCUGAAUUCCUGCUGCCAAGGAUCUGAACAGUGGGGUCACUUGAAGAGGGGAACUGAACUCUGUGCUUGACAAGUUAGAAGCAACUACAUCAUUGGUUUUUGGUUCAUCACAAGAAGGAAAAAUCUCUGCUGCAAGAAUUUAAUUAACAAAAUCAAAUACAUUAGGAUUCUAUCAAAUACAAAAUAAGAAAAAAGUCUUAUAGUUACUUUUAUUUAACAUGAAGAUUGAUUACCUUGUUUGUGAAAGAAAAAAAGAAGUACAUCUAAUAAAUACUUUUAUUUAACAUGAAAAUUGAUUACCUUGAUUUGUGGUUGUACCCGAAAGAACCCCCUUAACACAUUCUUCAAAGCCAUUUUGAUCCAUAGGAAUUGUUUGUAACCCAACUCCAAUUUCCUGAUGUAGUGCACAUAUCUCAGGUUGAGUUUGUUCUGUUUUAUCGCCUGCUGUUUGGGACACAAGAGUUGAUCCUGUACUGUAUUCAGAGCUGCCUGGAGACUCCUCAUAUAAAUCAGGUUGCCUAUGAUGGCAUCAACAAUUAGAUGCUGCAUGAAUGUGACCUGCUUAAAUAUGAAUACUAGCCCACACUGCUUUUAUUACCUCCAAGAUGGCCGACUUCCCUCAGUACUACUCCUUAAGUCCUCUACCAAAUCUUUGAAAUCUUCAAGUUGAAAAUCCAUUUCAGAAAUAUUGAAUCUGAGCAUGUCGCUUUCUUUGGUUUGAUUGAGAAAAUCUUGGAAUACCUGAAUAUAUAUUUGAUUAUUGUUAGAGGAUAUGCAAACUGUAAAUGGUAUAUUUCUUUUGAAAACUGGAUAUUACUACAUUACUCAGAGCCCUGGGCAUAAAAAUGUCACAUUGCUUCAUGCAAUACAAGAAAAAUGAAGAGUGACAGCUUGUGUUCAACUUUCUUGAUCAUAUGCUGACCACAAACUUGGUAAUCUUAAGACCGAAAAUCAACUUUGCAGAUUA